UACAGAGGGUGCGAGCGUUAAUCGGAAUUACUGGGCGUAAAGCGCACGUAGGCGGCUUGGUAUGUCGGGUGUGAAAUCCCCGGGCUCAACCUGGGAAUUGCAGUCGAGACUGCUCGGCUAGAGUGUGGGAGAGGGUGGUGGAAUUCCCGGUGUAGCGGUGAAAUGCGUAGAUAUCGGGAGGAACAUCAGUGGCGAAGGCGACCACCUGGCCCAACACUGACGCUGAGGUGCGAAAGCGUGGGUAGCAAACAGG
rnacentral:rRNA from 1 species